rnacentral:rRNA from 1 species
UACGGGGGAUGCGAGCGUUAUCCGGAUUUAUUGGGUUUAAAGGGUGCGUAGGUGGUCUGUUAAGUCUGUGGUGAAAGCGUGCGGCUCAACCGUACCAAGCCAUGGAAACUGGCGGACUUGAGUGCAAACGAGGUAGGCGGAAUGUGACGUGUAGCGGUGAAAUGCUUAGAUAUGUCACAGAACCCGAUUGCGAAGGCAGCUUACCAGCAUGCAACUGACACUGAGGCACGAAAGCGUGGGGAUCAAACAG